GACGAACGCUGGCGGCAUGCCUAACACAUGCAAGUCGAACGAGACCUUCGGGUCUUUGUGCGCUCGUGUGCUUAACACGUGGGAACCUGCCCUUAAGUUCGGAAUACCUCCCCGAAAGGUGUGCUAAUACCGGAUAAUGUCUUCGGGGCAAAGAUUUAUCGCCUUUGGAUGGGCCCGCGUUGGAUUAGUUAGUUGGUAGGGUAAAAGCAUACCAAGGCGACGAUGCAUAGCUGGUCGGUGAGGAUGCUCAUCCACAAUGGGAAUGAGACACGGACCAGACUCGUACGGGAGGCAGCAGUGGGGAAUAUUAGACACUGGGCGCAAGUCUGACAAAGCCACGCCGCGUGAGUGAUGAAGGCCUUAGGAUUGUACAGCUCUCUUACACGGGAUGAUAAUGACAGUACCGGGAAAAUAAGCGCCGGCUAACUACGUG
rnacentral:rRNA from 1 species